AAUGCUCCUUGAGGCGUUGCAGCCCAACAUGUGGAGGUGCUGUGUCAUUAGGAGCAGAGAGAGACGGUGGAUGUCUGCACUGGGACUUUGUCUGUUAUAGAGAUCUCAGAGUGAAAACAUCACCAACAAC
ensembl:snoRNA Small nucleolar RNA SNORA17